GGCUUUCAGAAGAGCUCAGCAUUAGCCUAAUUUUGCUCCCAGUGGUAUCGAAUGAGGCAGAAUGAGGCUAGAGCUGAGCUUCUGAAAGCU
ensembl:miRNA